rnacentral:rRNA from 1 species
AUUGAACGCUGGCGGAAUGCUUUACACAUGCAAGUCGAACGGCAGCACGGGGCAACCUGGUGGCGAGUGGCGAACGGGUGAGUAAUACAUCGGAACGUGCCCAGUCGUGGGGGAUAACGUAGCGAAAGUUACGCUAAUACCGCAUACGAUCUAAGGAUGAAAGCGGGGGAUCGCAAGACCUCGCGCGAUUGGAGCGGCCGAUGUCAGAUUAGGUAGUUGGUGGGGUAAAGGCCCACCCAGCCGACGAUCUGUAGCUGGUCUGAGAGGACGACCAGCCACACUGGGACUGCGGCACGGCCCAGACUCCUACGGGAGGCAGCAGUGGGGAAUUUUGGACAAUGGGCGGAAGCCUGAUCCAGCCAUUCCGCGUGCAGGAUGAAGGCCUUCGGGUUGUAAACUGCUUUUGUACGGGGCGAAAAGGCUCUCGUUAAUACAGUGGGCUCAUGACGGUACCGUAAGAAUAAGCACCGGCUAACUACGUGCCAGCCGCCGCGGUAA